rnacentral:rRNA from 1 species
AGUGGCAGACGGGUGAGUAACAUGUGGGUAUCUACCCUUUGGCCUGGAAUAACACGAGGAAACUUGUGCUAAUACCGGAUAAGUCUUUACGGAGAAAGCUUUAUGCACCAUUGGAUGAGCCCGCACUUGAUUAGUUUGUUGGUAGGGUAAUGGCCUACCAAGACUAUGAUCAAUAGCUGAUUUGAGAGGAUGAUCAGCCACAUUGGGACUGAGACACGGCCCAAACUCCUACGGGAGGCAGCAGUGGGGAAUCUUGCACAAUGGAGGAAACUCUGAUGCAGCGAUGCCACGUGAGUGAAGAAGGCCUUUGGGUUGUAAAGCUCUUUCGUCGGGGAAGAAAAUGACUGUACCCGAAUAAGAAGGUCCGGCUAACUUCGUGCCAGCAGCCGCGGUAAUACGAAGGGACCUAGCGUAGUUCGGAAUUACUGGGCUUAAAGAGUUCGUAGGUGGUUGAAAAAGUUGGUGGUGAAAUCCCAGAGCUUAACUCUGGAACUGCCAUCAAAACUUUUCAGCUAGAGUAUGAUAGAGGAAAGCAGAAUUUCUAGUGUAGAGGUGAAAUUCGUAGAUAUUAGAAAGAAUACCAAUUGCGAAGGCAGCUUUCUGGAUCAUUACUGACACUGAGGAACGAAAGCAUGGGUAGCGAAGAGGAUUAGAUACCCUCGUAGUCCAUGCCGA